GCCGACAGGGCUGCAAUCGCAGGCCACUUUGAUAUAGUGGUAUUUGGAGUCAAACUCCCGUCGGUA
rnacentral:tRNA from 1 species